GAUAUCUCGGCAGAGUACCCGAGGACUGAAUGGGCAUGGAGAUGAAUUGCCAUCCACAUCAGGGCUGAGGCAUGAUGUCAAGAAACUGUGGAGAAGCACUUUUGAAAAUCCCACCUUAAGCGGCUUUCCCAAGGAUGUUCAGUGAGUCAAUGGCAGAAUCAGGAAAAGAAACGAGGAGCCCUGAUUCUCAGUAUCCUGUAUUAACAGCUAGACCAUCCAGACUGCCUUAUUACAGUAUAUUUUAACAAGUCAGUGGACACCUGCAUCUAUGUUAUUGUCACUAAGCUGCACAUCAGAGCUAUUCUGAACAUGGGGACACAAGUAGGGAUAGAGUUCGGAUUCCCUUGUUCAAGAAGAAAAGGCCCCUAGUGACAGACAGCACCAUACAGAGGCACCGCUGCAAAGCUCAAACUUACACCACUUCAUUUUGGGACCCCAAAGCAGCAGAACAAUAGUCUAUAUAGCAAACAAAUGACUAGUAUUUACAUAAUUACAUAUAACCACAACUUAUAAAGUAUUUGUAAGCACUUGAAUGAAACUGAUGCAUUC